rnacentral:rRNA from 1 species
UACGUAGGUGGCAAGCGUUGUCCGGAAUUAUUGGGCGUAAAGCGCGCGCAGGUGGUUUCUUAAGUCUGAUGUGAAAGCCCACGGCUCAACCGUGGAGGGUCAUUGGAAACUGGGGAACUUGAGUGCAGGAGAGAAGAGUGGAAUUCCACGUGUAGCGGUGAAAUGCGUAGAGAUGUGGAGGAACACCAGUGGCGAAGGCGGUUCUCUGGGCCUUACCUGACGCUGAGGAGCGAAAGCAUGGGGAGCAAACAGG